GACGAACGCUGGCGGCGUGCUUAACACAUGCAAGUCGAACGGUGAAGGGACCAGCUUGCUGGUUCUGGAUGAGUGGCGAACGGGUGAGUAACACGUGAGUAACCUGCCCCCUUCUUCUGGAUAACCGCAUGAAAGUGUGGCUAAUACGGGAUAUUCUGGGUCUGUCGCAUGGCGGGCCCGGGAAAGAUAUUGCUUCGGUGGGGGAUGGGCUCGCGGCCUAUCAGCUUGUUGGUGGGGUGAUGGCCUACCAAGGCGGUGACGGGUAGCCGGCCUGAGAGGGGGGACGGUCACACUGGGACUGAGACACGGCCCAGACUACUACGGGAGGCAGCAGUGGGGAAUAUUGCACAAUGGGCGAAAGCCUGAUGCAGCGACGCCGCGUGAGGGAGGGAGGCCUUCGGGUUGUAAACCUCUUUCGCCAGUGAAGCAGGCCUGCUCCUUGUGGGUGGGUUGACGGUAGCUGGAUAAGAAGCGCCGGCUAACUACGUG
rnacentral:rRNA from 1 species